AUCCCAUGGUGGGGACAUUUUCUCUGCAGCUCCUUGAAUCUCUCCCAUGCAUCAUAAAGAGAUUCCCCAUUGUUAUACCCAAAAAUUGGAGAUCAAUGGCAUGGCAAU